GGGACACGUGGUAUCCUGUCUGAAUAUGGGGGGACCAUCCUCCAAGGCUAAAUACUCCUGACUGACCGAUAGUGAACCAGUACCGUGAGGGAAAGGCGAAAAGAACCCCGGCGAGGGGAGUGAAAAAGAACCUGAAACCGUGUACGUACAAGCAGUGGGAGCACAGGUUUACCUGUGUGACUGCGUACCUUUUGUAUAAUGGGUCAGCGACUUAUAUUCUGUAGCAAGGUUAACCGAAUAGGGGAGCCGGAGGGAAACCGAGUCUUAAUUGGGCGUUAAGUUGCAGGGUAUAGACCCGAAACCCGGUGAUCUAGCCAUGGGCAGGUUGAAGGUUGGGUAACACUAACUGGAGGACCGAACCGACUAAUGUUGAAAAAUUAGCGGAUGACCUGUGGCUGGGGGUGAAAGGCCAAUCAAACCGGGAGAUAGCUGGUUCUCCCCGAAAGCUAUUUAGGUAGCGCCUCGUGAACUCAUCUCCGGGGGUAGAGCACUGUUUCGGCUAGGGGGCCAUCCCGGCUUACCAACCCGAUGCAAACUGCGAAUACCGGAGAAUGUUAUCACGGGAGACACACGGCGGGUGCUAACGUCCGUCGUGAAGAGGGAAACAACCCAGACCGCCAGCUAAGGUCCCAAAGUCAUGGUUAAGUGGGAAACGAUGUGGGAAGGCCCAGACAGCCAGGAUGUUGGCUUAGAAGCAGCCAUCAUUUAAAGAAAGCGUAAUAGCUCACUGGUCGAGUCGGCCUGCGCGGAAGAUGUAACGGGGCUAAACCAUGCACCGAAGCUGCGGCAGCGACGCUGAUGCGUUGUUGGGUAGGGGAGCGUUCUGUAAGCCUGCGAAGGUGGCCUGUGAGGGUUGCUGGAGGUAUCAGAAGUGCGAAUGCUGACAUAAGUAACGAUAAAGCGGGUGAAAAGCCCGCUCGCCGGAAGACCAAGGGUUCCUGUCCAACGUUAAUCGGGGCAGGGUGAGUCGACCCCUAAGGCGAGGCCGAAAGGCGUAGUCGAUGGGAAACGGGUUAAUAUUCCCGUACUUGGUGUUACUGCGAAGGGGGGACGGAGAAGGCUAUGUUGGCCGGGCGACGGUUGUCCCGGUUUAAGCGUGUAGGUGUGUGUUCCAGGUAAAUCCGGUUCACUUUAACACUGAGGCGUGAUGACGAGGCACUACGGUGCUGAAGCAACAAAUGCCCUGCUUCCAGGAAAAGCCUCUAAGCAUCAGGUAACACGAAAUCGUACCCCAAACCGACACAGGUGGUCAGGUAGA
rnacentral:rRNA from 1 species